CUGUCCUCCUGAUACGGAAACCCGCUCAGGGUCUCUUCGGCCCCUGCCCUCGGAAAACAGGAACCCGCAAGUAUUCCGCGCCCGGAAAAUUCUUCAUAGUCAUCCGUGUCAAUAAAUAGGUUCUUUUUGUUUAAAAAGAGUGACGUAAUGCAUUUAGAAAGUUAUUUCUGGCAAACAGGAAGGCUCCAGCGUGGAAGACUGUGGACUUUGAUUAGGGACGAUGGCGCUUUGAACGCAGCGGGCGGGCGCCCAGCGGAGACUCUCCCGGGCGGGGACAGGCCAGCAAGGUAAACACACACGCCGGGCUGGCGUUUCCAGCUGGUCCCGGAUGGGGAGGGGUGUCAGGGCAGCCGACCCCGGGGAGGCCCAGGAUCCCCAGGGGUUGCCGUGCGGAGCCCGAGGGGACAGCAGGACAUGCAGCCCAGCAGGCGCCCGGAGAGUGGGUUGAUGUCUUCGGAGGGAGGUCAGGGUGAGGCGAGAAUCUGGAAAUCAGGAAGCACCACACGGGAUCCAGGAAUGUGCUGGGGACAUGUGUAUGGAAAUGACAGAACUCCCACUUGGAAGAGCCGGAAGUGAACCAGAAGUAAGCGUCGCGAUCACAAAGAAACGUUUGAAAAUCCACGAUCCUCAGUCCAGCACUAAUACAGACACGUGGAAAGCGAACCGUGGGAACAAAUAAAUGGUCGUUGAGGUUCUAGAGGUUUCUCUGUCGCCCCUCCAGGCCCGUGGCCGGCCUCCUGCUCACCCUCCUCCCAAGGUCAGCGUCCGCACCCGCCUCUGCACUGGAAAGGACGCGGGGACAAAGAUGAGCAGGGCAUUUGGGCAGGCGCCUUGGCCUUUGCCCCUCACUGGUUCCUGACGGGUGAGGACCCGGGGUCCCCAGGCCACCCCGACUUCUGCCUCCCCUGUCCUCGCCUGCUCCCUGCCCCGGUCACCCCCCUGUGCCUCUCCCCUGUGUUCAUAACCUGCCUAUAAAAAUACUCCUGGCAGGCCCUACAUGUCGAAAGGCACCAACGUAACAGCAGACAGGCUGGCCACACAGCAAGUCGCUGGCACCGGCCGCUCCCGGGGGGCAGGUCACCCCACAGGUAAGGAGCGCCCACACCUUCCUUCGCGGGGAGUCCAGGAUACGCAGGCCUCCCCAGCAUGACAGGCGAGAGAAAAUGAUGGUCCUUCUCGGUCUGAUCCUACUCUCUGUGUCCCAGGUCUCUAGACUAGAGGAACUCCCCAACAUUUUCCCCAUUUUUGUAAUUUUUUUAGCAGCCAUAUUGUGAGGCUGGAAGAAUGCUUUCUUCUCCCGGGAUCAGGGCUGCUUCGUCUCACCCUGUCUGAGGUGUGCCUGUGGGGCCGGCUUUCUCAGCUCUCUGUAGGCCCACGAAGGUCUCAUCUGUUCCCUGAGCUACACUUGCCUCUUCUGGGGCCGGCAUUGGUUUGCUUCUCUCCGGAAGGGGAAGAAGCUGCCGUGGUCCUAACAGAAAGACGGGCACACCCUAGCUUCGCCUCGGGAAGGGACCUGCCACACUCGCGUCCUCUCCCUGGGCUCUUGGAACAGGCCUCCUCUGGGCUCUCUUGUAACCGCCAUGGACUCGUCUUCUGACGAGCGACUCCAUCUCCGUCAUUUUGCUCCCGGAUCCCUCAGCAGCUCCUUGCUCCCCGUCACGUGCUCUAAUUCCUCCCUCCACCAGCCCACAGGGAGCCAACGUCUCGGAUGCCCUCCCGUGACAGCUUCCAUCUCGGAGCUCUGCAGUGAUCUGCUUCCUGCCUCGGCGGCGCUCAGCGUUCUGCCGUGGGGACCCCGCUCGGAAUAUCUGCACCUGUAGACUCUUCCAGAUUCAAAUCAUCUCCUGCGAUCUAUGCCCCUGUACGUAGCUGCACAUUAAAGAGCCUCAUCAUUACGAUGGAACGACUGCUCUGGGGGUCUGCCCUGUGUGGCUUGUCCGCGGCUGUGGUGCCUGGAACUCGGGGAAGGGUUUGUCCAUCACCCGGCACAGGAGAAACACAUGCUCGAGAGCUGCUCUUCCUUCAACCUUGCCUUCCUGACCUUGGGGAGAACCUCUCGCUACAAAUGUCCUCGGAUCCACCAAGCUCAGGUGGAUUUCCACACGGUUGCCGGCGUACUUGGAGGACGGGUAGCCCAGCACGGAAACCACCUCCCGAUAUGGCCACAGCUUGGCCCCCGUGCCAUUGCCCUCCAGGAGCCCAACAUGAGGUCAAGGCCAUGCGGGUAGGGCUAGUUUUCCCACGUGGUGCUGAGACGGAGAACAACAAAGCAGGACACAGAAGGAGAUACAGGGUCUCACCAUGGAAGAAAGUAACAAGCUUGUUUGUACGGAUUUUACCAACCACAAGUCGGUGUUGAUGCUGCCCAAUUUUUACUCUUUGAAAGGAAGGCAGAUAUUUUUGGACGACACUAUCAUGAUCAGAAUUUCCCUCAAAAUAAUCUGGAAUUGGGGUGAAGAGCAGGGCUGGGGGUUGACGCAUAAGUAACGAGACUGGCCUUUACUUAAUCAUUUUGAAGUUAUGUGUGUGUGACAGAUCCACAGAAAUUUAUUAUUCUCUUCUGAUCUGUAUAUCCUCACAAAUUUUACAAUAAAACUCAUUUUCUAAGAAGGGAUUUAGCCUCUCAAGCAAAUAAAGGAGUGUGGCUGUAGA